CGGGGGAGCAAGCGUUGUUCGGAUUUACUGGGCGUAAAGGGCGCGUAGGCGGUCAGCACAAGUCAGUUGUGAGAUCUCCGAGCUUAACUCGGAAAGGUCAACUGAUACUGUGCGACUAGAGUGCGGAAGGGGCAACUGGAAUUCUUGGUGUAGCGGUGAGAUGCGUAGAUAUCAAGAGGAACACCUGCGGCGAAGGCGGGUUGCUGGGCCGACACUGACGCUGAGGCGCGAAAGCCAGGGGAGCGAACGGGAUUAGAUACCCCGGUAGUCCUGGCCUUAAACGAUGAAUGCUUGGUGUCUGGGGUUAUAAAGUCCCCGGGUGCCGUCGCUAACGCUUUAAGCAUUCCGCCUGGGGAGUACGGUCGCAAGACUG
rnacentral:rRNA from 1 species